UACGUAGGCAGCGAGCGUUGUUCGGAGUUACUGGGCGUAAAGGGUGUGUAGGCGGUUGCUUAAGUUUGGUGUGAAAUCUCCCCGGCUCAACUGGGAGGGGUGCGCCGAAUACUGAGUGACUCGAGUGCGGGAGAGGAGAGUGGAAUUCCUGGUUGUAGCGGUGAAAUGCGUAGAUAUCAGGAGGAACACCGGUGGUGUAGACGGCUCUCUGGACCGUAACUGACGCUGAGACACGAAAGCGUGGGUAGCAAACAGG
rnacentral:rRNA from 1 species